rnacentral:rRNA from 1 species
GAUGAACGCUAGCGGCAGGCUUAACACAUGCAAGUCGAGGGGCAGCGCGGGAUAGCAAUAUCCUGGCGGCGACCGGCGGAAGGGUGCGUAACGCGUGAGCGACAUGCCCGUUGCCCGGGGACAACCGGUGGAAACGCCGACUAAUCCCCGAUGGGAUAUUGUGCCGCAUGGCACGAUAUUGAAAGUUACGGCGGCGACGGGUUGGCUCGCGUCCGGUUAGCUGGUUGGCGGGGUAACGGCCCACCAAGGCUGCGAUCGGUAGGGGUUCUGAGAGGAAGGCCCCCCACAAUGGGACUGAGACACGGCCCAUACUCGUACGGGAGGAAGCAGUGAGGAAGAUUGGUCAAUGGGCGGAAGCCUGAACCAGCCAUGCCGCGUGCGGGAAGGAGGCCCUAUGGGCUGUGAACCGCUUUUGCCUGGGGGCAAUAAGGGCGUCGCGCACGUCCGAUGAGAGUACCAGGCGAAUAAGCAUCGGCUAACUCCGUG